rnacentral:tRNA from 1 species
GACAGCUUGGCCGAGUGGUUAAGGCGACAGACUUGAAAUCUGUUGGGUUCGCCCUCACAAGUUCGAAUCUUGUAGCUGUCG